rnacentral:rRNA from 1 species
AUUGAACGCUGGCGGCAGGCCUAACACAUGCAAGUCGAGCGGAUGAAGGGAGCUUGCUCCUGGAUUCAGCGGCGGACGGGUGAGUAAUGCCUAGGAAUCUGCCUGGUAGUGGGGGAUAACGUCCGGAAACGGGCGCUAAUACCGCAUACGUCCUGAGGGAGAAAGUGGGGGAUCUUCGGACCUCACGCUAUCAGAUGAGCCUAGGUCGGAUUAGCUAGUUGGUGGGGUAAAGGCCUACCAAGGCGACGAUCCGUAACUGGUCUGAGAGGAUGAUCAGUCACACUGAACUGAGACACGGUCUAGACUCCUACGGGAGGCAGCAGUGGGGAAUAUUGGACAAUGGGCGAAAGCCUGAUCCAGCCAUGCCGCGUGUGUGAAGAAGGUCUUCGGAUUGUAAAGCACUUUAAGUUGGGAGGAAGGGCAGUAAGUUAAUACCUUGCUGUUUUGACGUUACCAACAGAAUAAGCACCGGCUAACUUCGUG